CUGAAAGACACCAUUUGGCACCUUUGUUGACAUGGAGCCCUUUAUGGUCAAUGAGAUACUACUUUCAAACAUCAUAAAAUAUCAUGUUGGAGGGGAUCAAUUUAUUUUUGCUGAAAAAAUAAUAAUAUUCAAUGCUAAGAAAGUGGCACUUAUAUUAGAUCUUCUGUGUCACGAGAUGAAAAUCUCAGCCAUCGAAAAAUAUCCAAAGAAGAUGGGGAGGCUAUUCAAG
rnacentral:lncRNA from 1 species